AAAGUCGUAACAAGGUUUCCGUAGGUGAACCUGCGGAAGGAUCAUUACAAAUCAUUGCAAGCCCUCGCUCUCUGCAGCGCAACAAGUUGUUGCUGUUGACGACGUGGGGGUGAGCACAUUGGCACAGGACUAGCGCGGUGGCGGCAGCAGCUUUGCUUGCUUGCUUGCUCGCUAGUCUUGAUGUUUACGCUUGCUUGUUUGACAAAGUUAUCAUGUGACCUAAAUAUAGACAACUUUUAACAAUGGAUCUCUUGGCUCUU
rnacentral:misc_RNA from 1 species